rnacentral:tRNA from 1 species
CUGGGUGUGGCGCAGUUUGGUAGCGCGCUUGAAUGGGGUUCAAGAGGUCGGGGGUUCAAGUCCCUCCACUCAGACCA